rnacentral:lncRNA from 1 species
GGUGCCCCUGUGCGAAGCUGGCGGUCAGCCGUGGGAUCAGUACUCCCGGAAGACACGACUCCCGGAAGACACGGCUGCCGGAGCUGCCUGGAUCCCAUCAGGGAAGCUUCCAGGAGUGCUGUGGCCAACAGUAGUAGUGGCUCCAAUGACAGCAGCAGUGAACUUCAGCACAACUCACUGGCCAGUAUUCUGGAGGAUGUGACACUGAUGUCAGCCAGAUUUUCAGUGGAGACAAUGGCACAAGAUGCCAACAGAAGCUUCUCCCAGGUUCUCUUCAGAUAUUUGAGCAUAUUUCCAGACCUCUUCAGGGAGAGGGCGUUUGACUCUGCUGAUGGGAACUUUGGCAGUUCUGUUUCUGAAGGCAAGAAGUAUAGUGGUGCCAGCGGAAUAAAUGGAGUGAUCAAAAAUAGGUAAGGUUUGUGAUGAGGAACCAUGAGGAUGGAGUCUUAAACAGUAAUUUAGAGGAAGAUAUGCCCUUUACUUAAGAGUAAGGGCUUUGAACAUUGAAAUCAGUGUUUGCAGAGGACAAGGGUCCCUGUAGUCCACUUACACUAUCCCAAACCCCAAAUCAGCAAUCUCCCACCCUCUCUGUGUCUUUUGGAAUUAUUUCUUCCUUCUCAGCAGCUCCUUCUCCAUACCUAUCUUUGGAGUUGGCUUUUAAGGGAUUAAACUUUUAUCCAUUCUAGGAAACUUCAAAUUUUAACAAGAUUUUGC